GGUUUAAUAAUUUGAAAUAUUUUGCGUUUUAUUUCUGUAUAUUCUGAUAUAAAAUGUCUUGUGAACAUUGGAGACAAAAAAAAGAGAUGAUCAGAGUUGCAAGAACAGGAAAUUGGAAGUAAGAAAGAUAUACCAAGUGAAUAAGAGAUGAGGGCAGAAAGAAACGAAGUAGAAGCGAAAGACCUGAGAGGAGAGAGAAGGAACGAGAUAUCGGCGAGAAAAGAGAGAUGCCAAAUAAGAAAGAGGAACAAAGAAAAAAUGGCACAAUAAGACUUCACUAUUUUUACGUUACCAUCCAAUUUCCUUUUUCUCGGAAGAAACGCUUGCUUUUGCAAGAUCUUCAUCUGAGAUGUACUUGGUAUCAUUUUCAUAUCUGACAUAUUCUCAACAAUAACGACGAAAAAGAGAUAAGAGAAGUGAGACAAGACAUUGGAAAUAAGAGAGAUGUGAGGGUAAUUGGACGAGUAAUUGGACGAGAUAGAGGCAAAAGGUGAGAUGAAAGAAGAAAAAAACCAGACAGAAGCGAAAGAUGAGGAAGGACAGACAAAAGACUGGAGAAACCAGAUAUUGGUGAGAGAGGAGAGACGAGAGAUAAAAAAUAAGAAAGGCAAAGAAAAAACGAAAUACAGUAAUGACGAAAUAGGGAUGAGAAUGGCGAGACAAGACAUUAGUAGGAAAAAGAUUUAAAGCGAGUGAUGAGAUGCGAUAGAUGAGAGCCGAGAGAUUAGAGAAGGAAAAAGCUGGGUAGAGUUGAAAGAGGAGUUGAGAGAUGAGAAAUGAGAUGUAUAUAAUUCAAGAUACAAGCAAGUCAAGAAAUUGGAAGUACGAAAGAGACGAGUGAUGAGAUAGAGGCGAAAAAUGAGAGAAGGAAGAAUUGAGAUGAAGGCGAAAAACAAGAGAGGAGAGAUAAAAGACUAGGGAGUGAUAUUGGUGAGAAAGCAAUGCUAAGAGAUGAAAAACGAGAAAGAGGUGAGAUAGAUGAAGACAAAACGAGUUAUAGAUGAGAGAAGAUAGA